CGCAAGCGGGUAGCGUUGACUAGCACUGCUCCAGCUGAAUUAGUUCACUCAGAGCUGCAAACACAACAACAGUCUUGAACCACGACAGCAUAGAGAAUGUGCACAUUUUGCCUUUUCAAAUGCCUUGCAGUAACAACAGAGUAGAAGGUGGCAUCUGCUUAAAGGGAUAGUUCGGUGACAUGAAGUUGGCAUGUAUGGCAUCCCCAUCAGCACUGUAGUGUAUAAACAGGGACUUACCCCCCCACUUUGUUCCGUGAGCGGAGUUCUGGUCAGAUUUUGAUGAGGAGGAACGAAGUUCCGAUAAAGGAAAGUUCGGGCCUGAAUGUGUAUUACCGGAAGACACUUCAACCAUCAACCGACUAUCUUUCUUCACCCAGACUGGGAUCUGUGAGUGAAAACACAAACACUGAUGCAGACGGCCAACGUGGCAACAUCUCUGCAGACAUCUGUCAGUGUCGCCACUGCCAGUCAAACAGCCAGUGGCGAUUCAUCUAAGACUGCAAGGGAAGCUCAGAUUCCCCUAAAACGUGUGGUGAAAUAUGAACUGCUCGCCAUGGCACUUUUACACAGUCGGAUGCUGAGCAUCUACUGACUUCGAUGGGGAAGCGUAGAAUGGGUUGUUCCACGGUGCAAAACUGGACGGUCAUUGGAUAAAUGCUGGGCUUUGUCCCACCCAUCGGACGCUCAGCGUCUCUGGGGGUCUAUGAGGCAGUGGGCUGGCCCGAACGCUCAGCUUCUGCAUGACGAUUGGAUGAUCUGUCUUGACACUGAAAUGAGAGAAUCGGCGAUCUCGAACGGAGCAUUUUCCAAGUUUUUUUUUACGUUGUUCCGAACUGAUCCCGAGACUUUACCGAUCCCCAGCAACUUUGUCAACUUCGUUAAAAAUGACUGGCAUUGUGUUUGGCGACUCUCUUCUGUCACUCUGUGGUUUCUUUCCCUAACGAGCAGCGGCAACUGCGGAGCUUCUACCCCCGUCAUGAUCACUCACACUCACAGCCGGUCACACAGUAGCAUCGCACAGCAGGUCCAGCUGCUAGGAAGCUGCACAUCAUGGCAGAUGCUAAAAUUUACAUAUAAAUAAAUAAACACAUGAUGUAGGCCGGGCCGCACGGUGGUCUAGUGGUUAGCAUGUUGGCCACACAGUCACAGUCUGGAGAUCGGGAAGACCUGGGUUUGAUUCUCUCUUGGGCAUCUCUGUGUGGAGUUUGCAUGUUCUCCCCGUGCGUGCGUGGGUUUUCUCCGGGUACUCCGGUUUCCUCCCACAUUCCAAAAACAUGCAUGUUAGGUUAAUUGGUGACUCUAAAUUGUCCAUAGGUAUGAAUGUGAGUGUGAAUGGUUGUUUGUCUAUAUGUGCCCUGCGAUUGGCUGGCGACCAGUCCAGGCUGUACCCCGCCUGUUGAUGGAUGGAUGAUGUAGGCCAGAAAAAAUAAGCUUCCCUUCCUUGAAUGACCAGCAGACGCCACUGCAAACAGCAUAGCUGUUGUGGCCGAUUUUUGGGGGGGGUUUCAUAUCAGAUGUUCAAUGAACUGCUUUUGCCAACAAGCGGAGGAGGCAGUACUGGUUUCCAAAACUGACGUAGCGCUAGCUGACCGUGCUUAUUCUGUAAAUGUUGAAAAACUAAUGCAUACAUUCAUACAGUUUGGUUGCCGUUGCAAAGCAUCCUCAACGUGACGUCACUGCCAAGACGGUGGCAAUUCAUAAACCUCCAAGCAGCAAACCAGUUCCAAUGAAAACAACUAUCAGUGAAUAAGUGAGGUGUGAACACGGAAUGUAAAUGUGUAAGGUUGUUUUUCUUUCUGCCCUUUUAGGCAUGUAUUUUGACCACACUCAGCUGGGAUAGGCUCCAGCUUGUGGAAAAAAGGAGCGGUUGCUUGUGGCUGAAUUUACAUUUGAUUAAAAAUGAGAUCUC